rnacentral:rRNA from 1 species
UUGCAGAGUGCGGAUGAGUGCCGAACGGGUGAGUAACACGUGGAAAUUUGCCUAGGAGUGGGGGAUAACAUUCGGAAACGGAUGCUAAUACCGCAUAUCUUUUUGAACCGCAUGGUUCUUAAACGAAAGACGGCUUCGGCUGUCGCUCUUAGAUGAUCCCGCGGCGUAUUAGUUAGUUGGUGGGGUAAAGGCCUACCAAGACAAUGAUACGUAGCCGACCUGAGAGGGUGAUCGGCCACACUGGGACUGAGACACGGCCCAGACUCCUACGGGAGGCAGCAGUAGGGAAUCUUCCACAAUGGGUGCAAACCUGAUGGAGCAAUGCCGCGUGAAUGAAGAAGGUCUUCGGAUCGUAAAGUUCUGUUAUUAGUGAAGAACAAAUCGAGGAGUAACUGUCUCGAUUUUGACGGUAACUAACCAGAAAGUCACGGCUAACUACGUGCCAGCAGCCGCGGUAAUACGUAGGUGACAAGCGUUGUCCGGAAUUAUUGGGCGUAAAGGGAGCGCAGGCGGUUGGAAUAGUCUGAUGUGAAAGCCCACGGCUUAACCGUGGAAGGUCAUUGGAAACUGUCCAACUUGAAUGCAGAAGAGGUAAGUGGAAUUCCAUGUGUAGCGGUGAAAUGCGUAGAUAUAUGGAGGAACACCAGUGGCGAAGGCGACUUACUGGUCUGUGAUUGACGCUGAGGCUCGAAAGCGUGGGUAGCGAACAGGAUCAGAUACCCUGGUAGUCCACGCCGUAAACGAUGAGUGCUAAGUGUUAGGGGGUUUCCGCCCCUUAGUGCUGGAGUUAACGCAU